rnacentral:sRNA from 1 species
UCACGAUUUUGUAUGCCAACACUGCAUG